AGAGUUUGAUCCUGGCUCAGAUUGAACGCUGGCGGCAGGCCUAACACAUGCAAGUCGAACGGUAACAGGAAGCAGCUUGCUGCUUCGCUGACGAGUGGCGGACGGGUGAGUAAUGUCUGGGAAACUGCCUGAUGGAGGGGGAUAACUACUGGAAACGGUAGCUAAUACCGCAUAACGUCGCAAGACCAAAGAGGGGGACCUUCGGGCCUCUUGCCAUCGGAUGUGCCCAGAUGGGAUUAGCUUGUUGGUGGGGUAACGGCUCACCAAGGCGACGAUCCCUAGCUGGUCUGAGAGGAUGACCAGCCACACUGGAACUGAGACACGGUCCAGACUCCUACGGGAGGCAGCAGUGGGGAAUAUUGCACAAUGGGCGCAAGCCUGAUGCAGCCAUGCCGCGUGUAUGAAGAAGGCCUUCGGGUUGUAAAGUACUUUCAGCGGGGAGGAAGGGAGUAAAGUUAAUACCUUUGCUCAUUGACGUUACCCGCAGAAGAAGCACCGGCUAACUCCGUGCCAGCAGCCGCGGUAAUACGGAGGGUGCAAGCGUUAAUCGGAAUUACUGGGCGUAAAGCGCACGCAGGCGGUUUGUUAAGUCAGAUGUGAAAUCCCCGGGCUCAACCUGGGAACUGCAUCUGAUACUGGCAAGCUUGAGUCUCGUAGAGGGGGGUAGAAUUCCAGGUGUAGCGGUGAAAUGCGUAGAGAUCUGGAGGAAUACCGGUGGCGAAGGCGGCCCCCUGGACGAAGACUGACGCUCAGGUGCGAAAGCGUGGGGAGCAAACGGGAUUAGAUACCCUGGUAGUCCACGCCGUAAACGAUGUCGACUUGGAGGUUGUGCCCUUGAGGCGUGGCUUCCGGAGCUAACGCGUUAAGUCGACCGCCUGGGGAGUACGGCCGCAAGGUUAAAACUCAAAUGAAUUGACGGGGGCCCGCACAAGCGGUGGAGCAUGUGGUUUAAUUCGAUGCAACGCGAAGAACCUUACCUGGUCUUGACAUCCACAGAACUUUCCAGAGAUGGAUUGGUGCCUUCGGGAACUGUGAGACAGGUGCUGCAUGGCUGUCGUCAGCUCGUGUUGUGAAAUGUUGGGUUAAGUCCCGCAACGAGCGCAACCCUUAUCCUUUGUUGCCAGCGGUCCGGCCGGGAACUCAAAGGAGACUGCCAGUGAUAAACUGGAGGAAGGUGGGGAUGACGUCAAGUCAUCAUGGCCCUUACGACCAGGGCUACACACGUGCUACAAUGGCGCAUACAAAGAGAAGCGACCUCGCGAGAGCAAGCGGACCUCAUAAAGUGCGUCGUAGUCCGGAUUGGAGUCUGCAACUCGACUCCAUGAAGUCGGAAUCGCUAGUAAUCGUGGAUCAGAAUGCCACGGUGAAUACGUUCCCGGGCCUUGCACACACCGCCCGUCA
rnacentral:rRNA from 1 species